GGUGGCGUGUCUGAGCGGCCGAAGGUGCUCGCCUCGAAAGCGAGUGACGUGUUAAAGCGUCCGAGGGUUCAAAUCCCUCCGCCACCGCCA
rnacentral:tRNA from 1 species